AGGACGAACGCUGGCGGCACGCUUAACACAUGCAAGUCGAACGGAGAUAUUUGAGUUACUUAGAUAUCUUAGUGGCGGACGGGUGAGUAACACGUGAGCAACCUGCCUCUGAGAGAGGGAUAGCUUCUGGAAACGGAUGGUAAUACCUCAUAACAUAUACUUAAGACAUCUUAAGUAUAUCAAAGAUUUAUCGCUCAGAGAUGGGCUCGCGUCUGAUUAGCUGGUUGGUGAGGUAACGGCCCACCAAGUCGACGAUCGGUAGCCGACCUGAGAGGGUGAUCGGCCACAUUGGGACUGAGACACGGCCCAAACUCCUACGGGAGGCAGCAGUGGGGAAUAUUGGGCAAUGGGGGGAAACCCUGACCCAGCAACGCCGCGUGAGGGAAGAAGGUUUUCGGAUCGUAAACCUCUGUCCUUGGUGAAGAGGAAGAGACGGUAGCCAAGGAGGAAGCCCCGGCUAACUACGUGCCAGCCGCCGC
rnacentral:rRNA from 1 species